UCUCUUAUAAUGGCAAUGGCGCCCACCUGAGAGGUGCUGGAAUGGAGUUCUGGUGAGUUCUGGCUGAAAAAAAGGCCCUGCUUUUGCUAGUGCAUGCAACCUCAUUUCCAGAGCUGGUAACUAUAGUUUCCAAGUUUGGAUGAAAAGACAAAUUAUGACUAAGAACAGACUUCCUGCUUUUGAUUGAUUGCACUGUGAACAGAGGAGCAAAAGUGGUUUUGUGAACAGGCAGAAGACUUGUUCAUAUUGUGUCUUAUUAAUCUGAGAUAUGAUCAUUUAAAUGUGACUGCUGUUAAUUGGUCAAAGCUAUUUACCGGUUUUGUUAUUCUAAGCUGGGCUUGAACUCAGAAGUCACAGAUGACUUACAGUAACUCUUCCAACCAGUUCCAUCCCUAGCCCAACAAUCACACAACCCACCCUCAAAAACCACAGCUUUUUCAGUUGUUCUGUACCAUACAGCUAAAAACAACGUUUAAAAAAAUAAGACUCAAAAACCAAAUAAUUUUGCAUCUGGAAAAAGAUCUGUGUAUAAAAUAACUCCAGCGAAUUAAAAGGAACAUCAGACUUCAUUCCCCAUGUCAUUUUACUAAUACAGAACUUGCUUUCUAAGGAAUAAUAUUUGUUGUAUGAUACACUUGUUGUCCAUAGUUUUCCUACUGCUUCUUCUGGAAUUCUAAUCCAUGGUCUGAGGAAAAUUAGGGCGUUGCACCUAUCUACCAUUCCCAGCAAGAGGGUGGUAGUGCUGUUGCUGAUUCAUUGUCUACAGAUUCACAUCUUCUGCAGCAUAUAGCUCAAAGAGGUUAGCAGACUGACUUCACACAUUGCAGAAGGUAGAAAACUUAAGUAUUAAGAAAACAGCAGCAAGUGUUGAAAUAUUCACCACUGUAAACAUUAUAGAAUUAUGCAGAGUCUGGAAUAUGAAACAAAUAAACUUCAACUAUGUGCAUCAUUUUCAAAAUAACAAAAGGGACUUCCUCUUCUUUUUGAGUGUAAUCCAAAAUUGCUUCCCUCUAUGCAACAGCUUAUGAAUGACUUUAGUUCCUACUCCAGAUCACCAAUAGUUACAAAUGGAGCGCCCACAAUCCAAGCUCAACAUACUUAGUGUGUGGAGUGACCAAUUCUUGCAAUUGAAUUUGAAGAAGACAGAGGGAGUUUGUCCUGUAGGUAGCCAAUCUUACCACUGGAUCUCUCAAAAAGGGGGGAACAGGUAAUAAAAUGGCAAAUGCAAACACAGUAAGUUUGAAGUGAUGCUAACAAAACCCCUAAAUUCUGAUUAUGAUCACAUGACAGAAUUUUUUUUGAAGGGAGCUUUAGCAUAGUGACUAGCUCAAAUAUCAACUUAUUCAUAGAUGCCCAUCCGCAAUGAGAUAAUGCUAGUCUACUUUACAGUGUUAUCGUAGAUUACUGAGAUAAUUAUGUGAAGCAUACUGAGCUCUCAAAAAUCACUAUAUAAAUGUAUGUAUUAUGCAGGAAUAUAUCCCUUUCCCCCUCUUGAUGGCCUAUUAGCAUAACCUUCCUUAGCUAGGCAUUAUCCCUAAUAUGCGGUAUUCCCUUUCUCUGGCAUUAAGUGUACCUUGCACAUUUCAGACCAAAAUAGCAGAUUCUCUGCUUCCUGAUAUACACCUUGUGCACUAUCAAGUGAUCAGGAAAGAAGCAAAACAGGUACUACAAGGGCAAUGACAAAGCAAACACCCCUCAUAGAUAAACUCUAAGUAGACACACCCAAGUCUCCAGGGCUAACAGCCCCAUGUAAACUGAGCAUUUCAAAAUAAUGUGCAUUUGAUCCAUGAACAGGCUGAUAACCACUAUACUUAUUUGAUCUGGUAUAUAUGAUAUAGAUUCUCCCUCUCUCCCCUGCAGUUUCAGGCUAUCUGCAAAAAUGUUGACUGAACCUCUGACAGGCCACCAUACAUGGUGGACAACCUUUCACCUGCACAGCUGCUGAUCUUUAAUCUUAAACCAGCACAGGCUUGGUAAAUGAGGCUGGAAAAAAGGGAAACAGUAUGCCCCCCCUUUUUUUGGUAAGGACCUUCAGGCUAGACGUGUGGCUUCCAGAGAUUUUGCAGGUGAUUGUCCUGCCUCACGCCCAGCAGAUAGAGGCUCUUGUGUGCAAGUAAGACAGACAUCUUUAUGUACGCAAGUAAGAGUACAGGCUUUGGCAGCAGACACAGUGUUCAAGAGUAACAAUCCAGGAAUCAAGCAAGACAUUCGGAACUGGACAGAAGCAUCAAAGGGGUCCCAACAGUUUCCACACAGUUGAGGCACAGUGGGCAGAGCCUCUCCACAGCCUCUCCUCUGUGUUUUUUUUUCCUACCUCCUCCUGCAUUGGGGCAUGCUGACUCAAUCCUGUGUGGGAGAUUUUUUUUUGCAGUCAAACCUAACAGUGCAUAUCUAUGCUAGUUAGUAAAUGAAGGGGUUAAGGGCCACAGAGCUGUAAAAUGCUAGAGAGAGGAAAUGGCUAGGUCACGCCCCCUCACCUUUGGGGAAGGAAGUUGUUUUGUUUGUUUCCUGUUCCUCUCUCACUCUUCUGUCUGAACUAUGUAACUGACCACAUGCAUGAGCUCAGACUCCAUGCUUGAAGAUACUUUUUGGUUUUUUGUACUGAAGAAGCUUUUACCUGUGAUGUUUCUGCUGUGAUUACUAGGGUGAGCUGGGGGCAAAUGUGGAACUUCAGGAAUAAUUGGUAUUCACCAGUUAUUUCCCAGUAUCCUGGUCCUGGUAGCGCUUCAUGGUUCCUGACAUCGAUUCCUAUGCAUUGUCACCAUCCUACAAAUGCUGCUCCUCUAAGUGGCUGCCUGGAUCGUUAGUGUGGUCAGGCCAGGCCCAUGGCAAGCAUCUCAUCUGGCUGUCAAGAAGGAUAACUAACCAUUGGAGGGUUUUGAGAAGAGCCUUAAUAUGGCCAAGGCAGCUGGAAAGGAUAUUGAUGCUUGAAGACUGCUCCUUGUGAAGACUCCUUUUCCUUGACAGAAUAAUAAGCAAACAAGUCUUAGCCUGCUGCCUGUAGGGAAAUGGGUUUUGUUAUGGAAGGAGAGCGCCCUGCGCUAAAACAACAAACAGAAGAAUGGCUGUGUUUGUUUUUCCAUGUGCUGGAGGUGAGGGUGCAGCCACCACAGGCCUGCCUUCAUAUCCUCUCCAACUGACAGAGGAGGGUGAGGCAGAGACAUAUACAAACAGAAAGACUUUCCUGAGAAUCUAGGGGGAAAACUGCAUGCAACUUGGUAUCACGUGAAAUUCAUCCUUCUGCGGUUGGUCAGGGCCCACAACUAUGAUUGAGGUCAACACUCCCUCACUGUCCCAAUAAAUUUCCCCCAAGUUUCCUCAAGCUGCUAUUGGGCACAGGAUAGAAAAAGGGAAAUACGCCUCCUGUAGCAGCAAACAGAAGCAGGGGAAAGUCUUGUGCAGAUGCAUCCUUAGUGCUGGAGUGCAGGAAUGUUGGCAAAUGACUCAAGGCAUGAAGGAGCCCCUACAAGAAUCGAAAACCUCUCAUCUCCACUUCCUUUACCGCUUAAUGGAUGUAGGUAACAGAAAGUUUUAAAAGGUAAUAAAAACCUUGGUGGCUUGAAUGUUUUGUUAAUUCUGUUCUGAGUUGUAUCAGAAUUACAGGGUAGUAUUGGCACCUAGUUUUUGGCAGUUGUUCUUCUCUCCACCUUUAGAACUAUUGUCUUCAGGCUACGAAGCACAUAUUACGGUGUUCAUGAUAGUCACCUCUUACUAGUUUCUAUGCGACAUUCUUCUACUCAUAUCUAUAGGUGUUCUACAAAAAAAGAAAUUUACCUUGUAAAAGAAAGUUGUGCCAAAGGGCUCAUAUUCCAAAACUGCAAAAAGGGGAUGAACAAAAAUAAGCAAAAUCAGCUUUGAUGGGAUUUACCAGCAGAGUAUAUAGUAGCAUAACUCAGAGAGGUUUCAGCUCAAGGGACAUGGAACUCAUCUGUUAGAACCAUUUACACAUGUAUGUGUCUGAAGACUAAAAUCACAGUGCUCAAUACAUGUAAACAAUGUUCAAAACUACUUCAGUGUGACUGUGUAUAAACCUGACUUGCACUUACAGAACUUCACUCAUUGUCAAAGCUGUAAUUUGCAUUUGCUUGUAUACUGUGGUUUGGAACCAUUAUAUGUCAGACUUGAAGAAUAUGCGCAAAUUAAGGUAAUCGCAUGCUAUCACCACUAAUUUACAUACAAAUGUAAACAUCCAAACUCAUGAAAUAUGUUGGGCCCUGUUAUUAUGGAGAGUAAACAGCAAUGACUCGCCUGUUAUUUACACAGCCACCCAAACAGGGCAUUUUCUUCCACUGUCACCCAGCUGGGCAACACAGCAAGGGGUAUAGAAGUCAGUGUCUAACCUAUGUUCCGAAAUGGGCUCAUAAUCAUGCUUCAUAGGUGGCCUGGCCACCUGGAUUAUGACUCGACAGUAAUAGGGGGUUUGCCAUUGCUGAUGUUGUGGUUGUUGAGCUAUGUGGCAUUCUUUUUUCCUUUUUUAAAAAAAGGCGGGGGAGGGGGAAUGGAGCAACUUAGGCGUUCUUUUCUCAGAACUAUGAACAUUUUUCUUCCCACUACUGAAAUGACUCUAGCUAUAGAUGAUUCUUUCCUCCUCAAAGAACUAGCUAUGAAAGAGGAAAGCUUGUUGUAUUACAGGUGGCGACCAUUUUGCAUGCGUCCAAUUGACACGACUGCCGACGUGCAAGUCCUUUUGGAUCCAGAAGAGGGCAGAAUGGGGGACGUAACAGGGCAGAGCGGGCUUAUGCAUGCUCUGCCAAAGCGUGGGGGGCCAGGAGUGGAACCCCCAUGCAAAAUGGUUGCUACCUGUACUUCAUUUUAUUUUGUUGCAUGUAAUCACUUUUAUGGCAGAUUUGCAAGAAGUGUCAAGUGCUGUAAAGCAUAUUGUACUGACCUUGAGGAUAAAAUCAUCAAGCUGCUAUGGAAGGUAAUCUGAAGUACAAAUCUGAGUGAGCAGCACUCAUUUAAUUUCACCGUUGCCCCAUAUUGUCUCAGCACUAUCUCUAUCAUUACACUUGUUUAAUGUAGCCAGGAUUAGCUUCUGAUGAAAAUGCCACACAAUCAGGGCUGUAGCUGGGGGUGGCGAGUUGGACCCCUGCCCAAAAUCUGCUUAAAAAUGCCCAUAAAUCUGCUAAAAAUCUGCUUAAAAAUGCCCAUAAAUAUGUCUGCUUCAUCCUCUUGAUCGCCGGAGCCUAUGUACCAUGCGCCUAUAUGGAAAUCUCCAUGCGUGCAUGCACACAAAGCGUAGCGUUUUGGAGAGGCCAGCCAGCUGCAGCAGGAGUUCCAUUGGGGGUGUCGCCUUUCGCUUUGAACCCUCUCUUUGCUUGGCUUCCUCUCUGCCUGUCCCCUCCCCAAAAGAAGACCAGGACAGGCCCCUUGUUGAGUAGAAAGGGGGAUUGGGGGGCUUUUAUCCCCUGCCCCCCAGGAGGAGGAGGAGCGCUGCCCUCCUUUGCAUGCCGGGGGCCUCCUCCUCUGUCGCAGCGCAGGCUACGAAGGCGCCAACGAGGUGAGUCAGAGGGCGCUGCUUUGCAGAAGCGAGAAGCCACCAAGACACUUUCCUGCUUUCAUGGAACUGAACCCCAUUUGAACAGGUCAGCUUCCUUCUGAGUAAAAGCAUGGAUUGGCUUGGGCUAAAUAGUCAUGCAAAUAAAGAGGGUGUGUCAGACUCCAAGCCCUGAUCAGGAGAGAAAUGAUAACACCUGGGCACCAUUGAAGUCAAUGGAUUUGUUAGUGGUGAAUUAAAUUGUCCCAUUCAUUUCAAUGGGAUGUGGGCUGCAAUGGGCUUUUGCUGAAUUGGGAUCAUCAAGUGUAAAAUUUGGCGAGUGUAAUAAUGUAAAUUGUGAAAUGGGACUUUUCUGAAAGGACAAACAGGGUCUAGGCGUUCAGAGAAUAUAACAUCAAUACUAUGCCAGUUUCAAGCGGCAGAGCUACUUGAAAAUAUUGGCGCGACUUCCCAUUUAGAUAUGUUGAAAUGUAUGACCAAGUAUGGGUUAAGAGAUGUUUAUCUCAAUAUCUAAAUAGCACUGAGAACAUGUCUCACUAUGCAUCUUGUGAAUGUAGUUUCAAUAAAUUAAAACUCAUAAAAAACAACCUAAGAUCAAGUAUGAGUGAAACCAGACUAACAAAUCUAGCAAUUUUGUCCAUCGAGUAUGAACUAACAAAAAAAAUAGACUUUGAUGAAAUUAUUACUGAGUUUUCUUCGAUUAAAGGGAGAAAAAUAAAGUUAUGAUCACAUUAGACUUCAUUGAGGAGAUUGCUACUUAAAGCCAGAGUUGGCCUAACUUGACUUUUAAUUUUAAUUUUUUCCCUUCAAAUAACAACUCUUGUGAAUAAGAAGUUAUAACUUGUAACUUGUGAUUUGUGAAUCAUAAUAGUCUUCUUACUUUAUAUUAACCAAAUAAACACAGAUAUUGCAAAAGUAAUGCCAUUUACAUCAUAUAGUAUUAUAACGUAAAGUUAUUAUCAUGGAACAAUUCAGUAUGAUAUUGUUUGUACAUUUCAUUUAGGCCUAUCUGUGUAUUGUUUUUACAACUGAAUUACUUUAAAAAACCCUGUCAACUCACAUCAAAAUGUCAUUUUCUUUGCUGAAACCUUUUAUUAAGAAAUAAUAAAUUAAAUAUUGGAUUUUC